rnacentral:ncRNA from 2 species
ACCGGGGUCCGGUGCGGA